UACGUAGGGUGCAAGCGUUGUCCGGAAUUAUUGGGCGUAAAGAGCUCGUAGGCGGUUUGUCGCGUCUGCUGUGAAAACUCGGGGCUUAACUCCGGGCCUGCAUUCGAUACUGGCGUGCUUGAGGACUGGAGAGGAGACUGGAAUUCAUGGUGUAGCAGUGAAAUGCGUAGAGAUCAUGAGGAAGACCAGUGGCGAAGGCGGGUCUCUGGACAGUUCCUGACACUGAGACACGAAGGCCAGGGGAGCAAACGGG
rnacentral:rRNA from 1 species